ACUGGAUUUCAGACGUGUGUUCUUCCAAUCUGUUAGUUGGUGACUUUGUCAUAGUAAACUUUGUAUCCAAAGGCAGGAGCUACCAUUACAUUGGCUUGGUUGAGAGCCUGGAGGGCAACGAAGUGAGUGCAAGAUUUCGCAGAAGAAUCCGG